AAUCAACGCUGGCGGCGUGCCUCAGACAUGCAAGUCGAACGCGAAAGUCCCCUUCGGGGGACAAGUAGAGUGGCGCACGGGUGAGUAACACGUAGGUAAUUUACCUUCGGGCGGGGAAUAACAACCGGAAACGGUUGCUAAUACCGCAUAAUGCAGCGGCACCUAAUGGUGACAGUUGUUAAAGCGGGGGAUCGCAAGACCUCGCACCUGAAGAGGAGCCUGCGGCGGAUUAGCUAGUUGGAGGGUAACAGCCUACCAAGGCAACGAUCCGUAGCCGGCCUGAGAGGGCGGUCGGCCACACUGACACUGACAUACGGGUCAGACUCCUACGGGAGGCAGCAGUCGGGAAUUUUGGGCAAUGGGCGAAAGCCUGACCCAGCAACGCCGCGUGAAGGAUGAAAUCCCUCGGGAUGUAAACUUCGCAAGAACGGGAAGAAUAAGUCGGUGUGAAUAUCACCGGCGAUGACGGUACCGUUUGUAAGCUCCGGCUAACUCCGUGCCA
rnacentral:rRNA from 1 species